GUUCUCAAGUCAUGUGAACUCGCAUACGUGCGGACGUGCUGCAGCUUACAGUCGUCUGAUUAGGUGUAAAACUAGUGACAGAGGGCCACCAGGAUGACUAGUGUGCUGUGUGGGCGAGCCCGGCUGGUGAUAACCCAGUCGUCAGGGCGUCAGGCCUUAUCUGCACUCCCGGGUGGGCUGGAUACGAACCUUCUCAGCUGCUGGUUCUGAUGAGCCUUAUUUUGUCGUGUCACGGGGGGACUCAGACUCAGGCCCUAGGACAGUAUGGCCUGAUGAAAACAUGGGACCAUUUGGCCCCCAGGACCAGCGGUUCCAGUUGCCAGGUAACUCAGGCUUUGACUUUCACCUGGAAGGCAUGGCAGACCAGAGGAUUAAAGGCCCAGUCCACCGGACGGUACCUGACGUUCUGACUGCUGCUACUAGCAGUGAGAGACAUGAGUUUGUAAUGGCCCAGUUUGUCAGCGAGUUUCAGGUCAAAAGUGUUCACAUGUUAUCGAUGAGCGUCCGCAAGGCAGAGCACUACUUUGAUCAGCCCAAUGUGAACUGUUCUAUACAGACCUGUCCUGAGCUGCUGAAGAAAGAGUUUGAAUCCUAUUUCCCCUCGGCCCCAGCCAGCGCCAUCACUGUUGUCACGGUGAAACACACCAGAUGUGAGGUGAUCGACAACGAAGUGAUCGACAGAGAACAGCUACUUCACAAAUUUGUUAGUGGUGCUAAGGAAAUCUGCUUUGCUCUGUGGACAGCUGGCUUCUGGGCUGACUUCAUUGACCCCUCAUCAGGAUCAGCUUUCUUUGGAUCUCACUCCAACCACCCACUACUCAAAGAGGAGGAGUGGAGCCAUCUAGGUUUCCAUAUCGAGGCCUCUGGAUCCUGCACAGUUAUCCGUCACGUCCUGAGGGGAACACCUACGUUUGUUGGAACUGUUUUCACUACCGCACCUGCUAACAGUCAUGUCAUGGAAAGACUUCAAGGCCAGUCAAGUGCAUUUGAAGACGGGGACUAGUUUUUAUAUUUAGUUAUCACCAUGUGAGAAUGAUGUAUCUCACUAUCCAAAAGACUGUUUGUGCCCUGACCUCUGUUUGUUCACUUUGGAUUGUUUUGGAGGAAAACCCUUACCCAUAAUGCCAUUGUCUUCACCACACCAGCAUGGAGAAAACGUUCUGAUGGGUUGUUGUCUUCAGACACAUGCCUAACUAUGUUAACCUGGUUCCAGAUCUGUUUGUGUUAUUCUGUUUGUGCUGUCUUGCCAAAGUUGGUACGAGGACACAAACAGAUCUGGGACCAGGCUAUAUAACUAUGUACUUGGAAGUAGACGGGUAGGUUGCGUACAGUACUGCAGCGAUCUAUUGUUGAUUCUGAUGAUAUCAUAAAGACUUGACUGAGGAAGA